UUGGAGGGCAAGUCUGGUGCCAGCAGCCGCGGUAAUUCCAGCUCCAAUAGCGUAUAUUAAAGUUGUUGCAGUUAAAAAGCUCGUAGUUGAAUUUCGGGGUCAGUAGGUUGGUCAUGCCACUGGUAUGUACUGGUCUCACUGAUUCCUCCUUCCUGAUGAACUGUAAUGCCAUUAAUUUGGUGUUGCAGGGAAUCUGGACUGUUACUUUGAAAAAAUUAGAGUGUUUAAAGCAGGCUAACGCCUGAAUACAUUAGCAUGGAAUAAUGAAAUAGGACGUUCGAUCCUAUUUUGUUGGUUUCUAGGAUUGACGUAAUGAUUAAUAGGGAUAGUUGGGGGCAUUAGUAUUCAAUUGUCAGAGGUGAAAUUCUUGGAUUUAUUGAAGACUAACUAUUGCGAAAGCAUUUGCCAAGGAUGUUUUCAUUAAUCAAGAACGAAAGUUAGGGGAUCGAAGACGAUCAGAUACCGUCGUAGUCUUAACCAUAAACUAUGCCGACUAGGAAUCGGGCGUCGUUAUUUUAAUGACUCGCUCGGCGCCUUACGGGAAAC
rnacentral:rRNA from 1 species